rnacentral:tRNA from 1 species
AGUCGCGUAGCUCAGUUGGUUAGAGCACUACCUCGACAUGGUAGGGGUCGUCGGUUCGAAUCCGACCGCGACUACCA